rnacentral:rRNA from 1 species
GACGAACGCUGGCGGCGUGCCUAAUACAUGCAAGUAGAACGCUGAAGGAAGGAGCUUGCUCUUUCCGGAUGAGUUGCGAACGGGUGAGUAACGCGUAGGUAACCUGCCUGGUAGCGGGGGAUAACUAUUGGAAACGAUAGCUAAUACCGCAUAAAAUUGAUUAUUGCAUGAUAGUCAAUUAAAAGGUGCAACUGCACCACUACCAGAUGGACCUGCGUUGUAUUAGCUAGUUGGUGGGGUAACGGCUCACCAAGGCGACGAUACAUAGCCGACCUGAGAGGGUGAUCGGCCACACUGGGACUGAGACACGGCCCAGACUCCUACGGGAGGCAGCAGUAGGGAAUCUUCGGCAAUGGACGAAAGUCUGACCGAGCAACGCCGCGUGAGUGAAGAAGGUUUUCGGAUCGUAAAGCUCUGUUGUAAGAGAAGAACGAGUGUGAGAGUGGA